AUCCAGUUGAUGAGUCCCGAAUAGGACGAAAUGCGUAUUGUCCUGGAU
rnacentral:hammerhead_ribozyme from 1 species